rnacentral:rRNA from 1 species
GACGAACGCUGGCGGCGUGCUUAACACAUGCAAGUCGAGCGGUAAGGCCCUUUCGGGGGUACACGAGCGGCGAACGGGUGAGUAACACGUGGGUAACCUGCCCGGAAGUGGGGAAUACCUCGGGGAAACUCGAGCUAAUACCGCAUGACAUCUUUGGGACGAAAGUCCUGACGAUCAAAGCGGGGUCGCAAGAUCUCGCGCUACCGGAUGGGCCCGCGCCCGAUUAGCUAGUUGGUGAGGUAACGGCUCACCAAGGCUUCGAUCGGUAACCGGCCUGAGAGGGCGAUCGGUCACACCGGAACUGAGACACGGUCCGGACUCCUACGGGAGGCAGCAGUGGGGAAUCUUGCGCAAUGGGCGAAAGCCUGACGCAGCAACGCCGCGUGGA